CAGCAAUGCAUUAGUGGCGCACGGGUGCGUAACGCGUAACCAACCUACCCACAACUGGGGGAUAGCCCGCCGAAAGGCGGAUUAAUACCGCAUAAGCCAACGGCUCGGCAUCGAGUAGUUGGUAAAGAGUGAUUGGUUGUGGAUGGGGUUGCGUAGCAUUAGCUAGUUGGCGGGGUAAGGGCCCACCAAGGCGACGAUGCUUAGGGGACCUGAGAGGGUGAUCCCCCACACUGGCACUGAGAUACGGGCCAGACUCCUACGGGAGGCAGCAGUAGGGAAUAUUGGGCAAUGGCCGCCAGGCUGACCCAGCCAUGCCGCGUGCCGGAUGACGGCCUUCUGGGUUGUAAACGGCUUUUCUCAGGGAAGAAAACGCCUCUGCGGGGGUAACUGACGGUACCUGAGGAAGAAGCACCGGCUAACUCCGUGCCAGCAGCCGCGGUAAUACGGAGGGUGCAAGCGUUGUCCGGAUUUAUUGGGUUUAAAGGGUGCGUAGGUGGCCUGUUAAGUCCGGGGUGAAAGCCCACAGCUCAACUGUGGAACUGCCCUGGAUACUGGCGGGCUUGAGUCCAGACGAGGGCGGCGGAAUGGAAGCUGUAGCGGUGAAAUGCAUAGAUAGCUUCCAGAACCCCGAUUGCGUAGGCAGCUGCCUAGGCUGGUACUGACACUGA
rnacentral:rRNA from 1 species